rnacentral:rRNA from 1 species
UACGUAGGGGGCAAGCGUUAUCCGGAUUUACUGGGUGUAAAGGGAGCGUAGACGGCUGUGCAAGUCUGGAGUGAAAGGCAUGGGCUCAACCUGUGGACUGCUUUGGAAACUGUGCAGCUUGAGUGUCGGAGAGGCAAGUGGAAUUCCUAGUGUAGCGGUGAAAUGCGUAGAUAUUAGGAAGAACACCAGUGGCGAAGGCGGCUUUCUGGACUGAAACUGACGCUGAGGUUCGAAAGCGUGGGUAGCAAACAGG